rnacentral:snRNA from 1 species
AUACCUUUCUUGGCCUUUUUGCUAAGAUCAAGUGUUGUAUAUGCUCUUAUCAGUUUAAUAUCUGAUACGUGAGCCAAUGGCUCACACGAUAUUAACUCAAUAUUUUUUUUUAGGGUAAAGAUUCACUGAUGUAUCUUGCUGCUUGGGUCUUUGAGUGUCGCCUUGGCCUGGCACACCCCACCAAUUCUAGUCCAUCAUUU